UGAGUCUGUCUUCAGAUCGCAUAAAUCUUUUGCCUUUUACUAAAGAUUUCCGUGGAGAGGAACAAUUCUGAGUCUUAAUCCUGAGACUGUCUUACGCAUUCCAUUUGGCUUCCAUGAAG